GCAGAACGUUGGAUAAGCAAAUAUGUUGGAUAAUAAGGAGGGAUUAAUUUUGACAGAAAAAGUAGUUCAAUACGCAGUAAUGCUAUGUAGUAAUUACUGUAUUUACGAAUUUAGCACCAAAAUAUCACGAUGUAUUGAAAACAUUGACUACAAAAAUGCAUUGGAUAAUCCAGAACGUUGGAUAAGUGUUAUGAUUGAGCCUCAUGGCUCUGCUACUGGGAGACGUGGGCGUAAGACUCCUCGAGAGUCAGAUACUCUCGAGGAGCGAGAAAGAAAGCGGCUGCGAGAUAUCUUUGCAGAACCAUCUGACGAGGAUUCUUUUGAAGGGUUUACUGAGAGAAUGGAGGAAGAGAUGGUUAGCUCGGAAGAGGAUGACAUGGAAUGGACUCGUGUAAGGGAGGAUUUGGGUGCCACUGGCAAUGAUAGUAUGGGAGGCGAUUGGGGACCUUCAGGAUUAGACCCAUGGGCAGGCUGGAGGGAUGGGACGGGAUCCACAGCUGGGGAUGCUGUGGGGCGUAGUCAGAGGUGUUCCAGCUCUGAUGAGGAAAGUGAUGAGGAAACGCCCGGGCUAAGGAGGGCAGCUGAUAGUGAUGAGGACUUGUAACUGGCAUAAAAUGGGGUUUGGGAGCAAUAGCAAAUUGCGUUGGGCAAGGUAAUCUGGACGAACGCUUGGGAUCUGUGUGGGAAGUUUCCUGAAGACGGGUGUGAUUCGUUUGCUGACUACCUUUGACCUUCCGUCGUCUUCUUGACGGACGCCAUCUGCUUGUACUGGACAUACGGACUUCUUGACUACGGCCUCGGAUUCUCCUACCUGUGUUGGACCUGGUGAACUACAAACGUCUGCAUCUACCUUACGACCUUCGGAACGGAUUGGGACCUCGCUGACUGCUAAAGCCCUCGCCUGCUGUGUUGUAUCGGGAAUCUGCCUGCUGUGUGGAGGAGUAACCUUUAAAGUUACUCAAACAUAGCUUUUGGCAGCAGAGAAGUAUCUGCUGCCAAUUAGUUGCAUUCCUUUGAACUCUUUGUUCACCAGCUUCUGUUUUGUUUAUCCCCAGGCUGAAGCAAGCUGUUUUGAUUUUGCCCGGAUUAAACUCCGGUUUAAUCCGGUUUAUCUUUUGAAUGUUUUUCUUGCCUCUUUUUACUUUUAAGGCCAGUGUUUGCCUAGCCCUUGUCUUUUACGGGCAUUUUGAGUUCUGUAAUUCCAAUAAACUCUGUUAUCUUU